GUUAGCAUGGCAUAGUGGUUUGAGUGUUGGACUGCAACUCCAGAGACCAAGGUUCGAUUCUCUGCUCAGACA